CUUGUUUCUUCUCCGCAGACAAUCGACGGUACCAACUUUGCUUCGUGACACUGCUAUUUGUAUCAGCAAAACUGUUGGUUUGAUCUCUAACUGGGGUAAGCUCUGCCAGAGGAUAUUCAGAUGCAUUAUCUUGACACUUCAUCUAGUAGGAAUACAGGGAAGAAGACAAAGAAGCGGGAGAACAUCAAGGUGGAGCGUCAGCAGAGCACGGCGGCGGCGAUCGAUGCCUGGGUCGAAGAAGUUCUUUCGGCAGAUCGCAGCGGCGGAAGAUCGCAGCGGCGGAAAAUCGCAGCGACGGCGGAAGAUCACAACGGCGGCGGAAGAUCACAACGGCGGCGAUCGAUGGUUGGCUCGAAGAUUUGGACGGCGUCGGAAGAGUUGGACGUGUUUGCGCUGCCAAUUUCGUUGUGUGUUUAAGUGUAUUUCCUUGAUUGAGGCAGUAUAUCAAUUUUAUUCCGUGUUUGCGCUGGAGUUGAAUACCAAUGUUUGCGCUGGAGUUGAAUACCAAUUUCCUUGUGUGUUUAAGUGUAUUUCCUUGAUUGACGCAGUAUACCAAUUUCCUUC